UGCUUCUUUUCUUCGACAAGAGAAAGGACCGCCAUGCGCCUAGCUGUCUGCAUGGCUUUGAAACUUCGAUGCUGUCCGCGUGGCUUUCUUGUGGCCGGUGAGUUUGGGACAGCUAUAGUGAGAGCUGCCCCCUUAACAAUCCCCGGGCGGUAGAGCAGAGCCGAGCUUUUGCGUCGUGGUGUCGAGACCGCUUUUUCAUGACUGAAAAAGGCUGCUCCGUGUGCGCCCGAGCUUGCUUCCAAGACCUCUACCUGAAGAGAUAGAUAUAGGGUAAGGCAAAGGAAAGCAUCCUACCAACGAGCUCUAGCCUUCAUUUCAUCGCUCUUCUUGUUCUGCAAUCGCCCCUCUUCCUAACUAGAACAACCGAGCUCAGCAGCUUUCUUUCUCUUAUGAGUCGAUAUUAGUGGGCAAUGCUUAUGUAAAUUCAGCCUUUUACUAUCUUUACUCUUCCACUCUGCCAUUUUCCUGUGAUCGGCAGAGUUUGAAAAUCUAAUUUUGUGGUAAAAAUAUAUACCUAUCUUAUAUUUAAUUCUCUCCAUCGAGCGCAAUUUGAUUUUGUUAAUUCAAUCCUUUUUCGGGAUCUUAUGAGACUUAAUGCCCAAGUGUUAGAUAUAAGGUAUAAUUGGUCUGGUAUUAUUCUGCUUUUGUUGAUUGUCGUGCAUGUCUGUUCUCCAAUCAUUGAGGUUUAUAUAGAGGUUUAUAUAAAUUGUCUGGGCUUGCCCUCCUGCUCCAAAGUUCAGACCCUAGAAUUCUUUCUGCUCUCCCUCUGUAGCACCACCACGGUGCCCUCCUGUCUUGGUUGGGGGGCCAUAUGUCAAGCCAUCUUGUACCUCAUCCUCUAGAUUUCUCCCGUUACUCUUCCAUGGACAGUAGACAUAGACCGGUUAUAGAGUAAUUUUUAGCAACUCCAGUGGCUUUUACAAUGUGACAUUCGAAGAAGAGGUUCAGGGCAAUAUCGUCGCUCCAUUGAUAUACAAGGCCAGAAGUAGGCGGUGGGGUGUAAAUUUUGAUCGUUCCAUAACCCACCCAUUCCCCUCCCUCUGAUUAUUCGAUUAUCCACCAAACCGAAUAGCUCGUAUUCACACCUUUCUAUCUCACUGAUUUUUUGGGGGAAACUACUUAUUGACCUUAUUGCUGAAAAGAUUUGGAAUUCAGAGACCUUAUUCACUGCCUGAGUGGGAUUUGAUGCUUUUUGUUAAGCGGCACACUAAAAAGCAUAAACUUAGAGCAUGGACUGGUACAUAUUUCUUUUGGUACAUCAAAUUUGUACUUAUUGAUUUUCUUGAGUUCUUGUUCAACAAAGGCAUUGGCUUUGCUGAGUAAGAAGGCAGGCUCUAUGAUGGAGUACAACUUAAAGGAUCAGAAUAUAGUUUAAGGGACAAGAAGGACAAGAAAACUACUUGUUUAUGGGGGUUCCAUGAUAUGUGAAAGUAAGAAAAUUUAUAAGAAACUUGCUCAUCUGGCAGUAAUUUAUAAGUA